rnacentral:rRNA from 1 species
UACGGAGGAUGCAAGCGUUAUCCGGAUUUAUUAGGUUUAAAGGGUGUGUAGGCGGAUGUAUAAGUCAGUGGUGAAAGUCAGCAGCUUAACUGUAGAAUUGCCAUUGAUACUGUAUGUCUUGAGUGUGGUUGAGGUAUGCGGAAUGUGUAAUGUAGCGGUGAAAUGCAUAGAUAUUACACAGAACACCGAUUGCGAAGGCAGCAUGCUAAGCCACAACUGACGCUGAUGCACGAAAGCGUGGGGAUCAAACAGGAUUAGAUACCCUGGUAGUCCACGCUGUAAACGAUGAUUACUAGCUGUUGGCGAUACAAAGUCAGUGGCCAAGCGAAAGCAAUAAGUAAUCCACCUGGGGAGUACGAUCGCAAGAUUGAA